rnacentral:rRNA from 1 species
AUUGAACGCUGGCGGCAGGCCUAACACAUGCAAGUCGAGCGGUAGAGAGAAGCUUGCUUCUCUUGAGAGCGGCGGACGGGUGAGUAAUGCCUAGGAAUCUGCCUGGUAGUGGGGGAUAACGUUCGGAAACGGACGCUAAUACCGCAUACGUCCUACGUGAGAAAGCAGGGGACCUUCGGGCCUUGCGCUAUCAGAUGAGCCUAGGUCGGAUUAGCUAGUUGGUGGGGUAAUGGCUCACCAAGGCGACGAUCCGUAACUGGUCUGAGAGGAUGAUCAGUCACACUGGAACUGAGACACGGUCCAGACUCCUACGGCAGGCAGCAGUGGGGAAUAUUGGACAAUGGGCGAAAGCCUGAUCCAGCCAUGCCGCGUGUGUGAAGAAGGUCUUCGGAUUGUAAAGCACUUUAAGUUGGGAGGAAGGGCAGUAAAUUAAUACUUUGCUGUUUUGACGUUACCGACAGAAUAAGCACCGGCUAACUCUGUGCCAGCCGCCGCGGUAA